rnacentral:tRNA from 1 species
GCCCAAGUGGCGGAAUUGGCAGACGCGCUAGGUUCAGGACCUAGUGUCCGUAAUGGACGUGGAGGUUCGAGUCCUCUCUUGGGCA